AGUGAACGCUGGCGGUAGGCCUAACACAUGCAAGUCGAACGGCAGCACAGUAAGAGCUUGCUCUUACGGGUGGCGAGUGGCGGACGGGUGAGGAAUACAUCGGAAUCUACUUUUUCGUGGGGGAUAACGUAGGGAAACUUACGCUAAUACCGCAUACGACCUACGGGUGAAAGCAGGGGAUCUUCGGACCUUGCGCGGUUGAAUGAGCCGAUGUCGGAUUAGCUAGUUGGCGGGGUAAAGGCCCACCAAGGCGACGAUCCGUAGCUGGUCUGAGAGGAUGAUCAGCCACACUGGAACAGAGACACGGUCCAGACUCCUACGGGAGGCAGCAGUGGGGAAUAUUGGACAAUGGGCGCAAGCCUGAUCCAGCCAUACCGCGUGGGUGAAGAAGGCCUUCGGGUUGUAAAGCCCUUUUGUUGGGAAAGAAAAGCAGCAGGUUAAUACCCCGCUGUUCUGACGGUACCCAAAGAAUAAGCACCGGCUAACUUCGUG
rnacentral:rRNA from 1 species